CCUACGGGUGGCAGCAGUGGGGAAUAUUGCACAAUGGGGGAAACCCUGAUGCAGCGACGCCGCGUGAGUGAAGAAGUAUUUCGGUAUGUAAAGCCCUAUCAGCAGGGAAGAAAAAAGACGGUACCUGACUAAGAAGCCCCGGCUAACUACGUGCCAGCAGCGGCGGUAAUACGUAGGGGGCAAGCGUUAUCCGGAUUUACUGGGUGUAAAGGGAGCGUAGGCGGUAAGGGAAGGUUGAAGUGAAAGCCCAGGGCUUAACCCUGGGACUGCUUUGGAAACUGUUGGGCUAGAGUGCUGGAGAGGUAAAGGGAAUUCCUAGUGUAGCGGUGAAAUGCGUAGAUAUUAGGAGGAACACCAGUGGCGAAGGCGGCUUACUGGACAAUAACUGACGUUGAGGCUCGAAAGCGUGGGGAGCAAACAGGAUUAGAUACCCUGGUAGUC
rnacentral:rRNA from 1 species